rnacentral:rRNA from 1 species
GAUGAACGCUGGCGGCGUGCCUAAUACAUGCAAGUCGAGCGAACAGAUGAGGAGCUUGCUCCUCUGACGUUAGCGGCGGACGGGUGAGUAACACGUGGAUAACCUACCUAUAAGACUGGGAUAACUUCGGGAAACCGGAGCUAAUACCGGAUAAUAUAUUGAACCGCAUGGUUCAAUAGUGAAAGACGGUUUUGCUGUCACUUAUAGAUGGAUCCGCGCCGCAUUAGCUAGUUGGUAAGGUAACGGCUUACCAAGGGCACGAUGCGUAACCGACCUGAGAGGGUGCUCGUCCACACUGGAACUGAGACACGGUCCAGACUCCUACGGGAGGCAGCAGUAGGGAAUCUUCCGCAGUGGGCGAAAGCCUGACGGAGCAACGCCGCGUGAGUAAUGAAGGUCUUCGGAUCGUAAAACUCUGUUAUUAGGGAAGAACAAAUGUGUAAGUAACUAUGCACGUCUUGACGGUACCUAAUCAGAAAGCCACGGCUAACUACGUG